UCGCACAAACCACAGGAGCCAAGAAGAGCUCUCAAGCUCAAACCCUAAUCAACAUAAUUUCAUCAAAUUGAAGGGGCAAAUCAAGUACAAAUCGAAAUCUAAGCUCAAAUAAGUGAUCACCUCCAUGAAGGGAUCAUAAGGAAAGGGAGUCGAAUCCUAAAGCGGACAAGCCGGAGUGGAUACACGCUUGAAAGGAAAGCUCUAAAGGUGCUAGUAGUGUGCUUCCGAGUGAUGAUCAAGCAAAUAUCAAGAACCGAACACAAGUCUUUUGAAGCUUCCGCAAUGAUAUCAUUUUGUUUUGGUUAAAUAUGAAACAUGUAAACACAUGAUGUUACAUUUUGAAUGUUUUAAACUAGUAUGGAUGUUAACUUGAAUACUUUAA